rnacentral:lncRNA from 1 species
UUCAGUCAUUAUUUGAACUGCCUGGGCAGUUGCCCGCUUGGUGAUCCGACCUUGACCCUGAACUGAUCCGUCCUCACUGUUUGCUUCCAGAGUUGACACCAUGCUCAGUGAACAGCGGAGGCUGUUCCCAGCUGUGCUCUCACUCCCAACACUACAACCAGAGCUCCGACCGGACCCAGAUCGGAACUCGGUGCCACUGCAGACCUGGGUUCACUCUGCUGGAUGACGGGCAAACGUGUCGAGAUAUAGAUGAGUGUGCAGUUAAUCGGGGGCAUGGGCCGUGUAUGGAGCGGUGCCACAACUCACCAGGAUCCUACCGCUGCUCCUGCACAUAUGGACUCAUCUUAGCCGGGGAUGGACACAGCUGCAUCCCCGAGUGUCCACCUGGAUACAGGAAGCAACCAACAACACCCGAGAAUUCAACCGCAGAAGCUCUUAAGGAAGAGUGUGUAGACAUAAAUGAGUGCCAGGGGGAGAGUGUGUGUGAGUGGCAGUGUGUCAACUUGCCAGGAUCUCACCGCUGCAUCUGCCCCAGAGGAUACACACUCCAAAGAGACGGGCAACGCUGCAAGGGUCAGUGCAGGCAACCACACUCAUGCAUAUGGUUAACAGUAUAUAGUGUAUGGUACGUGGGAUAUUUUCAUAUGAGCCUUUGUCUCUGUGGUGGCAAGAAGUCAGCAAUAACACGUGAUGGAAACUAUUUAUUUUUAAACAAAGUUUUCUUUUUCCAAGUGAUUAGGGGAUUUUAUGUUGUACAUUAA